AAAAAGGUGUGUUAACAUACCUGACAGGCCUCCCAUCGCAGCUGUCCACGGCUGUUUGUAAGCGAUAUUCCAGAUCAGGAAGGCAGAAAAUCCGACCAGGGUGCCAAAGCUGUCGUGUGGUUGAGAGCAGUCAAGGAUGUGAUAAAAACCACAGCCUUGCCUUUGAACUCAAAGCAAACUAAACCAACAGUUUCUUAUGAACGGAUCCUCUCCUGUCAGACUCUCACACAAUCACUCGGUGCUGUGUCUCCAUGCUGUUCACAGCCCAUGUCCCGGGGCAACUCUCUUCAUGACCAAUCAGAAAGAUACAGGAAGCUGUUUCCAGCAACACUCCCCACAUCUCACAUAAACUGAAAUGACUGAGAAAUAUAUCCUCGGACUCAUGAAAGAAAUAGAGGAGGAGGGAACGCAGAGGACCAGAAAAGAGUGAAAGAUAACGGCCUGAAAAAUCUUACAGGAGCAAAAGAUACUGUUCAAGCCCUCGGUAUGGAAACUAUGGUGAAAUCCAUAGUCUCUCCACCAAGACGCUGCACAACGGAGCUGUGGGAAGUAAGUCAACUUAUUCUACUCUACAACCCAAGCAAAAUCAAUAAAACAACAUUUAACCACAAACUAGGGUGUUUCUGAUACCGAGAGGAGUAUCUCAAACGCCAAACAUGCUGUAAUGGGAUUGGAAUCAGUAAUAUUAUCACUAUCUAUAUUGGUACUGGUAACGGUCUACAACAAAAACAAAGUCAAUAGAAUAACAUUCAAACAAAACUAUAGGGUGGUUCUGAUAAUAUAGAGUAUCUCAAAUGUUAAAUAUGCAGUAUCGGUUUUGGUUUUAGUUUUGGUUCUGAUGUCAGUGUUAGUGUCAGUAUGAACAUUGGUAAUGUAAUUGGUAUGAUAACUCUACAAUGCAGACAAAGUCAUUAAAUAACAUUUACCCACAAAUUAAGGUAGUUAUGAUAAGGAUUAGGGUAUCUCAAAUGUCUAAUAAGCAGUAUUAGUAUUAGUUUUGGUAUCAAUAUAAAUAUCAGUAUCAGUAACAGCACACACGCAAAGUUAAUAGAACAACAUUUAACUAG